ACAACGACGUGCGCGUAUGCCGGCUAGCAGGGUAGGGUGUAUCGCGUGCGUGCCCUUCGGCUCUCUUGCCGGCCGUUACGACAGGCCGUUGGAUGUACGACAACGAGGUGGUGCCGGGAAGGGUUAACAUACCGUUCUGGCCUUGUGUGCAUGGGUGUACCCAAGGGGAGGGUGGAGCGGAGUCUCGUGGUGGAUGGAGGGCGUUAUCCUGCCAAGGGUGUUGGUGAUGGUUCGCUUCAUUAAGUGCAUAGCUGUGGACUGUCAGGACAAGAUUAUGACUGAACUAGAGAGGAGAACAUCACCCAGGGAUCUUGGACUUGGAGCUGGAUGCAGGAACUGAUGAGACUCUGGAUUUCCCCUCUUGGGGAGUCUAGGUGGACGAGGCUCCAAAGAUGACCUCCAGUGAACCACAGCUCCUGCUAUUAAUGCUCACGUGUACUUCCCACCUACAUUUGAAUGGGCUGGUCUGUGACUCAUGUUAACCACUUGAAUGCAGUCGAAGUGGUGCUGUACCAAUUCUAGACCUAGUCUUUAAGAGGAUUGGCAGCUUCUACUUUCUCCUUCUUGGAACAUUUGCUUUUAAGUCUGACUGCCUUACUGGAGAGACACUGUGGAAAGAUUACAUGAAGAGGGAGAGAGACCCUGUUGUCAAAAUGUCCCUGUUAUCUGAAGAGAUGACUCCAGUCCCACCUGUCAUCUGACUCAACCACAUGAGAGGCCCCAGGUGAGACCAGCAGAAGAACUGCCCACAUGAUCUCAGUCAACCUGCAGAAUCACAAGGGUCAUUCCAGUACCCUCUAUUGAUGAAGUUUAAAAUUCUGCCACCUGACAAAGGAGAAGCUUUUGCAGGAUCCAAGUCCACUCUCACAAAAUGCAGGGCAAAGAAGAGUGAAUUUAGAAUGGAGAACCAAUAAAUUGAUAAUUUGCACACCUUAGCAAAGAUAAUUUAGUUAAUACACACUAUGUGCCAGGUGCUAUGAUAGAAUUAUGCAUGUGUGUGCAGGUGUACAUAAUUUUAAAUCCCACAGCAGCCCUGUGAAGUAGAUAUUAUUCUCAUUUGACAUACAUGACAAAUGAUCCAUGUCUGGACAUCAAAGCUGUGCUCUUCUCUGCUAUCCUCAUAUUCUUUUCUUCUCUGUGGAAAGUUAAAUGCACCCUCAUGUCUUCCCCUUUAGUUCUUGCCUCUGUAUUACAACACUUAUAUUGCAGUACCUAUUGGUUUAUAUGUCUACCUCUCUCCAUAAUAUGGAAGUUCCUAAAAAGCAGGAGUGGUGUUUUUCGAUUCAUUUUGGGUUCCUAAUGCACAACUUUAGUACUUAGUACCUAACAGGCACUUAAAUGCUCAUGAAAAGAAUAAUUGUUUGGGUGUUCCCUCCUUGAAACCAGUGCCAGUGGGCUAAAUAAUUCUGGAAACACCUAGGUAGGUACCAAGUAAAUCUGUUGAAUUGGGUUGAAUAUUUGCCAUUGGAUUAAGCUAGGUGGGUCUUGUUGAGUCUUGAGAAUAGGGAAAGCCUUUUUAGUUUUUAUUUUAUUUUAUAGUUUGGUUUGUUUAUUAAUACUAUAAUGUGGUGGGAAACUGUCUAUUUAAAAUCUCUUUGAUAUGUUUUUGCGCCUAGGAAAUCUUUGAUUCCUAAAAAACACUUGGCCCAUAUAUGAUGGUACAAUUUUAGUUCAUACUCGUGGGUAGGUUCUGAUGUUGGUCAUUCCAUUAAAUUUCCUUUAGGUCCACAUUUUACCUCUGUCACUUUUUCAAGUAAGGAACUUUGGAAUCAUCCUUUGGGUUAUGUUAUUGGUAUUGAAAGAGUAUUGAGUUUUUUUCUGGCAGGCCGUUAAAUUACCAGCAUGUAUGAGACUUGGUUUUAGGUUUUAUUAAGGUGGGUCUAUUUCAACUUUGCCCCCGACUCUUUGCCCCUUUAUAAAAGGGCCUUAGCUGCACAGCCAGAAUGUUCACCGAAGUCCCUUCACUCUCCCUAGGCCUGAACUCCAGUGUGUCCCCAGCACUGUUCAGUGUCUAGAAUCUUUAUUCAGUUCUCGUGCUUCCAGCAGCUAUUCUAGUCCUGGAUUUUGCUUUGUGUUUGAGACCCUCCCUCACAGGUCAGAGUCAAGAUUCAUGAGCUUCCAGGACUUGGUAACCCCUAAUUUAUCCUCUGCUUCCCCAAUUUAUUGUCAUUAUUAUUUGUUUUGUUUUGUUUUCUUUUUUUCUAUUCUUGUUUUGGUCUUUCAGUACAUCUCUGUCAUCACUUUUCUAU